AAAAUACUCCCUCUGUCCGAAAAUACUUGUCAUCAAAAUGGACAAAAAGAGAUGUAUCUAGAACUAAAAUACAUCUAGAUACAUCUCUUUUUAUUCAUUUUGAUGACAAAUAUUUCCGGACGGAGGGAGUAUGUG
rnacentral:pre_miRNA from 1 species